CCUACGGGAGGCUGCAGUGGGGAAUAUUGGACAAUGGGGGGAACCCUGAUCCAGCGACGCCGCGUGGGGGAAUGAAGGUCUUCGGAUUGUAAACCCCUGUCAUGUGGGAGCAAAUUAAAAAGAUAGUACCACAAGAGGAAGAGACGGCUAACUCUGUGCCAGUAGCCGCGGUAAUACAGAGGUCUCAAGCGUUGUUCGGAAUCACUGGGCGUAAAGCGUGUGUAGGCUGUUUCGUAAGUCGUGUGUGAAAGGCGCGGGCUCAACCCGCGGACGGCACAUGAUACUGCGAGACUAGAGUAAUGGAGGGGGAACCGGAAUGCUCGGUGUAGCAGUGAAAUGCGUAGAUAUCGAGAGGAACACUCGUGGCGAAGGCGGGUUCCUGGACAUUAACUGACGCUGAGGCACGAAGGCCAGGGGAGCGAAAGGGAUUAGAUACCCUAGUAGUC
rnacentral:rRNA from 1 species